rnacentral:rRNA from 1 species
GCACGUGUUAGGAACCCCGAGUGCCAGCACAGGCUGGCUGUCCACCAGUGUAAAUAACUGGUGAAGAAAGGGCCGGGCAAGACCGGUGCCAGCAGCCGCGGUAAUAUUAUU